rnacentral:rRNA from 1 species
GUCAGGUAGGGAAUACUCAGGCGCUUGAGAGAACUCGGGUGAAGGAACUAGGCAAAAUGGUGCCGUAACUUCGGGAGAAGGCACGCUGGCAUUAGGUGAAGUGGUUUACCCAUGGAGCUGAAGCCAGUCGCAGAUACCAGCUGGCUGCAACUGUUUAUUAAAAACACAGCACUGUGCAAACACGAAAGUGGACGUAUACGGUGUGACGCCUGCCCGGUG